UGUAGAGGCGUAUAGGGAAGAAGGGAAGGAAGAGAAAGGGAGAAAAAGAGAGGGAAAAAAAAAAGCAUAAUAGGGUAUAGGAGAGGGGAGGGGGAGAGGCACGAAACCAUGGGCUUGUGCUUUGGUUGCUUCGAUGGGGGCAACAAGCGGAUGACCAAAGAGGAAGAAAGGUUGGCCUCGGAAGAAGCACGUGCAAGAGCUGCUGAAGCUGCCCAGAAAAAGCAAGAGCAACCGGGAGAGGCAAAGGAAGCGGCGGAAGCGGAAGUGGAAGAAGCGGCGGAAACGGAAAAGGAAGCUGAAAACUCCAACAAUGGCGAAGUAAAGGAUUAGAGAGGCCACUUGAUUUUUGUGGCAGAUGGGUUGAGGGAUAGGCCAACUGUUUAUUAAAUUAUUAAUAAGUAUAGGUCCAGACGAAUCCUCUGCACUGCCAACUUUCCUUGUUCCGGAGAUGAACAACCGGUCUUUACUACACAACUGUACCAUCGGUCAAAUUUGUUGUUUCCCAGAUCAGGAAAUAUUAUGUUUUCGUCAUGUAAAGGAAACAAGGUAGCUUGGUGAUUUUAUUCCAUUUGUUGGUAUUGAAAAAACUCCAUUUUCCUUCCGCAAAAAUUGAACGCAUCAACUACUUUAUGUUAUCUGCUAUUCUGUAUUUGCUUUUAUUUUGGGAAAGGGUGCUAAGAAGAACUUGAACUUGUUUCGUGAUUC